rnacentral:rRNA from 1 species
GAUGAACGCUGGCGGCGUGCCUAAUACAUGCAAGUCGAGCGAACAGACGAGGAGCUUGCUCCUCUGACGUUAGCGGCGGACGGGUGAGUAACACGUGGAUAACCUACCUAUAAGACUGGGAUAACUUCGGGAAACCGGAGCUAAUACCGGAUAAUAUAUUGAACCGCAUGGUUCAAUAGUGAAAGACGGUUUUGCUGUCACUUAUAGAUGGAUCCGCGCCGCAUUAGCUAGUUGGUAAGGUAACGGCUUACCGAGGCGACGAUGCGUAGCCGACCUGAGAGGGUGAUCGGCACCACUAGAACUGAGACACGGUCCAGACUCCUACGGGAGGCAGCAGUAGGGAAUCUUCCGCAAUGGGCGAAAGCCUGACGGAGCAACGCCGCGUGAGUGAUGAAGGUCUUCGGAUCGUAAAACUCUGUUAUUAGGGAAGAACAAAUGUGUAAGUAACUAUGCACGUCUUGACGGUACCUAAUCAGAAAGCCACGGCUAACUACGUG